rnacentral:sRNA from 3 species
GUUUGCACUUAUCGGGGAAGGGUGAGAACCUUCGAUUAAGGUUCGACUCGAGCGAAAGCGAGAGAACGUUGCCAACGGCAACGGCCCGUAGGGUGAGGAGCG